rnacentral:rRNA from 1 species
ACUCGAGUGGCGAACGGGUGAGUAACACGUGGGUGAUCUGCCCUUGACUUUGGGAUAACUUCAGGAAACUGGGGCUAAUACCGGAUAGGAGCUCCUGCUGCAUGGUGGGGGUUGGAAAGUUUCGGCGGUUGGGGAUGGACUCGCGGCUUAUCAGCUUGUUGGUGGGGUAGUGGCUUACCAAGGCUUUGACGGGUAGCCGGCCUGAGAGGGUGGACGGCCACAUUGGGACUGAGAUACGGCCCAG